UGAAUACGAGACGCUAAGGCGUCGAAGUAGUGUAUGUCAUACUUCCAAGAAAAGCUUGCACUGUCAUAAGUAAAAAAUGCCUGUACCAUAACCGACACAGGUGGGUAGGUAGAGUAUACUAAGGGGCGCGAGAUAACUCUCUCUAAGGAACUCGGCAAAAUAACUCCGUAACUUCGGGAGAAGGAGUACCUUAUUCUAUAAGGUUGCAAUAACAAGAUCCAAGCAACUGUUUAUCAAAAACACAGGUCUCCGCUAAGUCGUAAGACGAUGUAUGGGGGCUUACGCCUGCCCAGUGCCAGAAGGUUAAAGAAGUCGGUUAGCAUUAGCGAAGCUGGUAACUGAAGCCCUGGUGAACGGCGGCCGUAACGAUAACGGUCCUAAGGUAGCGAAAUUCCUUGUCGGGUAAGUUCCGACCCGCACGAAAGGCGUAAUGAUUUGGAUACUGUCUCGGAGAGGGGCUCGGUGAAAUAGACUUGUCUGUGAAGAUGCGGACUACCUGCACCAGGACAGAAAGACCCUAUGAAGCUUUACUGUAACUUGAAAUUGAAAUUGGACUUUAUUCGCGCAGUAUAGGUGGGAGGUGUUGAUUAUAAUCUUGCGGGAUUAUUGGAGCCAUCAGUGAGAUACCACUCUUGUAAUGUUAGAUUUCUAACUUUGAAUCAUUAUCUGGUCAAAGGACAGUUUCAGGCGGGCAGUUUGACUGGGGCGGUCGCCUCCCAAACGGUAACGGAGGCGUACAAAGGUUUCCUCUGAACGGGUAGAAAUCGUAUCUAGAGUGUAAAGGCAUAAGGAAGCUUGACUGUGAGACCUACAAGUCGAACAGGGACGAAAGUUGGUCUUAGUGAUCUGACGGUACUGAGUGGAAAGGCCGUCACUCAACGGAUAAAAGUUACUCUAAGGAUAACAGGCUGAUCUCCCCCAAGAGUUCACAUCGACGGGGAGGUUUGGCACCUCGAUGUCGGCUCAUCGCAUCCUGGGGCGGUAGUACGUCCCAAGGGUUGGGCUGUUCGCCCAUGAAAGCGGUACGCGAGCUGGGUUCAGAACGUCGUGAGACAGUUCGGUCCAUAUCCGGUGUAGGCGUUAGAAUAUUGAGAGGAGCCUUCUUUAGUACGAGAGGACCGAGAAGGACAUACCUCUGGUGUACCAGUUAUCGUGCCAACGGUAAACGCUGGGUAGCUAUGUAUGGAGUGGAUAACCGCUGAAAGCAUCUAAGUGGGAAGCCCACCUCAAGAUAAG
rnacentral:rRNA from 1 species